GGGAAUAUUGGACAAUGGGCGCAAGCCUGAUCCAGCAAUGCCGCGUGUGUGAAGAAGGCCUUCGGGUUGUAAAGCACUUUUAUCAGGAGCGAAAUACUACCGAUUAAUACUCGGUGGGGCUGACGGUACCUGAGGAAUAAGCACCGGCUAACUUCGUGCCAGAAGCCGCGGUAAUACGAAGGGUGCAAGCGUUAAUCGGAAUUACUGGGCGUAAAGGGUGCGUAGGCGGUUAUUUAAGUCUGCCGUGAAAUCCCCGGGCUCAACCUGGGAAGGGCGGUGGAUACUGGAUAGCUAGAGUGUGUCAGAGGAUGGUGGAAUUCCCGGUGUAGCGGUGCAAUGCGUAGAGAUCAGGAGGAACAUCAGUGGCGAAGGCGGCCAUCUGGGACAACACUGACGCUGAAGCACGAAAGC
rnacentral:rRNA from 1 species